rnacentral:lncRNA from 1 species
AGACCUUCCUAGCCCCCUUCUCAUCUCUUUCUGUGGUUAGUGCUCUGAUGUCAAAAUAUAAAUAAUCUUUGAAGUAAUUCUUGAUUUUUAGAUCAGCUAUCAGGAAACUUCCCCUCAUCCCACCAAAAAUAAUUAUAUAGUUAUCCUUGGGCGAUCUUGGUUCUUAAUUAGUACACUCACGUUCUCUGUGCAAAAUUGAUACUCUGGAAUACUCCU